rnacentral:rRNA from 1 species
UAUGUACAUGACUACAAUGUUAAUGCACCAAGUCUCAUUAGAACUUCACAGUUAAAUGAGCAUGAUCUAGAGUAGUACAGGGAUGGGUGAUCUCUCGGGAAGUCCUAGUGUUUUACAUGC